rnacentral:lncRNA from 1 species
CUCAUGGUCACUAGAUGGCUGUUGCACUUUUAUGUUCAGCAUUUUCAUUCUAUUGAGGAAAAAAGGAUAUAGGCAAAGAAAAAACGGCAAAUGUCCUCAAGUCUGUCCUUUGCUUUUCAGAGAAGUAACAGCUUUUUUUUUUUUCUUUUUUAAAACUCAGUUAACGUAUCUCUCUGGUUAGACCUGAGUCAUAUGGACCCCCAUCUGCAAGAGAGUCUGAAAAGUGAGUCAUUUUAACUGUUUACAUUGCUAAAAUAAAAAUAGUUUUAUUGGAGAUUCAUAGGGGAGAAUGGAUUUUGGGUAGGCAACCUUCAUGCCUGCCUCAUUAUCUUUCAUUUUUAUUGUGGAAUAAUAAGUCAACUGAUAUAGUGCAUUCCUUUCUUAUUUUUCUUCUUCAAAAGUGUUCUGGUUAUUCUUGGCGUUUUACUCCUCUGUAUACAUAUUUGCAUCAACUUAUCAAGUUUUGCCAAUGGAAACAGUUUUUGAUCUUUAAGAUAUUGAAUCUUCAUACCCAUUAUGGUAUAUUGCUCAAUUUAUUGAAGUCUGUCUUCUUUAUGUCAUCAAGUUAGGAUUUAUAAUUACAUACAAAAUACCUUGCUCAGGCUUUACUCCUAAGUGUCAUAUAAUUUAAA